rnacentral:lncRNA from 1 species
GGGGCCCCGGGCAGCCGGGAAUCGGGACCGGGCGCCCCCCCACGCCCCUCCCCUGCGGCCGGUCGGGGUCACACGCGGCGCACGCGCGGCUCCGGGGCGGCGGCGCCCGAGCCCAGAGGCCAAGAACAAAGGGGACGCGCUCGCCUUCGCGGCUGGGGCGAGGGGGCGAGGGGGCGGGGCACGGCGGGGGCGGGGCACCGGGCGUGGCCACCCCUGGAGUCGUCGCCGGCCCCGCCCCCCGCCGGCCUCGGCGGCGCGCGCCCCUCCCCCAACGCCCCGCGAAAUGGCGGCCGCGUUACAAAAUGGCGGCCGCGCCAGGCCACGAGCGGAGCAAUAAAAGGCGCCGUGGGCCCUUCCCCCCCCCCCCGCCGCCACAGCUCCGGCGACCCUCCACGCCGCUUCUCGAGCCCGCAGACGGGGCGGGGCCCCGCGGCCGGAGGCCGACUUCAGGGGGCAAAGGCCGACGGAGCCGAGCGGCGCGGGGAGGGAGCGGCCGCCCCCUGGGGCGUCCAAGCCCGCAGCGUGAAGUGGGACGGGGCGGGGGGGUCAAAGGACACGGGGCCGGGAGCCCCAGGUCGGCGGGCGCUGCAGCCGGAGGAGGCGCGGGCGGCGCCGGGCGGGGUCGGCUCUCCCUCCACGCAGGCCUCCAGUGAGCCGGGCAGGUCUUCCGGGGCCUCGGAGGGCGCGGCGGCUGCGGUCCCCGUGAGGUCCCGGCGCUCCUGGGCUCCGCUCCGGACGUUCCGCUUUCUUUCUCUCAGAAAGCGCUCGCUUCUCUGCGCGCCCCAUCCCCCAGCUUCCCUCGGGCUCCGUCUUUCCAGAAACUUCUCAGGGAAACAUCUUACCCACCAAAAAAAAAAAAAAAAAAAAAAAAAAAAAAAAAAGGGGGGGUCGCGGGCUCAGCCCCCGCCCCGCCUCCCUCCCGGAGCGUGCGCGCCGGAUUGGGCGGCGAGUCCGGCGCGCGCGUGUGCAAGUGUGAGAGGGGGGCGUGCGCGCGCGGCGGGGCGGGGCGGGGCGGGGCGCGGCGCUCUCACGAGGAGGGAGCGGGGUUUCCUCCCCUCCCCCACGCCCCGUGGCUGCGCAGGCGCGUUGGGGCCUCGGCGGGGGGAGGGGCAGGGCCUCGGCGGUCGCCCCGUUGCUCCGCGCGCUUGCGCACUAGGGCGUCUCCGCCGGCAAAGUGCGUCUGGGCGUCUCGGGCGCGCCCUCCUUCCUCCCGUUUCCUCAGCUCCCCCUCGGGCGCCGCCGCAGCCCCUGGAGGGGUGUCCUCGACCCCGUUCCCCCCCCCGCCCCGUGCCCAGGGGCUGA